UGAACGCUGGCGGUAUGCUUUACACAUGCAAGUCGCACGGUCAGCAAUGGCAGUGGCGGACGGGUGAGUAACACGUAGGAAUCUAUCCUGGGGUGGGGGAUAACAGUGGGAAACUACUGCUAAUACCGCAUGAUACCUGAGGGUCAAAGGCGCGAGUCGCCUUGGGAGGAGCCUGCGUCUGAUUAGCUUGUUGGUGGGGUAAAGGCCUACCAAGGCGACGAUCAGUAGCUGGUCUGAGAGGAUGAUCAGCCACAUUGGGACUGAGACACGGCCCAAACUCCUACGGGAGGCAGCAGUGGGGAAUAUUGGACAAUGGGGGAAACCCUGAUCCAGCAAUGCCGCGUGUGUGAAGAAGGUCUUCGGAUUGUAAAGCACUUUUGGCAGGGACGAUGAUGACGGUACCUGCAGAAUAAGCCCCGGCUAACUUCGUGCCAGCAGCCGCGGUAAUACGAAGGGGGCUAGCGUUGCUCGGAAUGACUGGGCGUAAAGGGCGCGUAGGCGGCAUACACAGUCAGAAGUGAAAUUCCUGGGCUCAACCUGGGGACUGCUUUUGAUACGUGUAAGCUAGAGUGGAGAAGAGGGUUGUGGAAUUUCCAGUGUAGAGGUGAAAUUCGUAGAUAUUGGAAAGAACACCGGUGGCGAAGGCGGCAACCUGGUCUUCUACUGACGCUGAGGCGCGAAAGCGUGGGGAGCAAACAGGAUUAGAUACCCUGGUAGUCCACGCUGU
rnacentral:rRNA from 1 species